rnacentral:tRNA from 4 species
GGAGAGGUUCCCGAGUGGCCAAAGGGAGCAGACUGUAAAUCUGCCGGCACCGCCUUCGGAGGUUCGAAUCCUCCCCUCUCCACCA